UACGGGGGGGGCAAGCGUUGUUCGGAAUUACUGGGCGUAAAGGGCUCGUAGGUGGCCAACUAAGUCAGACGUGAAAUCCCUCAGCUUAACUGGGGAACUGCGUCUGAUACUGGAAGGCUUGAGUUCGGGAGAGGGAUGUGGAAUUCCAGGUGUAGCGGUGAAAUGCGUAGAUAUCUGGAGGAACACCGGUGGCGAAGGCGGCAUCCUGGACCGAAACUGACACUGAGGCGCGAAAGCCAGAGGAGCAAACGGG
rnacentral:rRNA from 1 species